GCCGCCACAGAGCAUUGGUUUGCUAGUGCGCUUUCUUCUGUUUUAAAAGAAUCAUUCACCGUAAUCUCCCCUCGACUACGCGGCUCGCAUGUUAUCGCAUUAUAUUGUGAAAUGUAGGCAGUCUUUUUUUUCUCUGUCACGUCAGUUUCUCUAAUUGGUUUACUUUGCACCUGUUAACCCCACCCCAGAAAAAGUCCUCUAAGGGAGCAGUUCCGGACUAACUUCAGCCAUAUCAAAGAGAGGCUUACCUAAUUGGCGUAUAUAGAAAACACCUGUGGCUGGCGUCUGCCUGUCGCCCCCUGGAAGAGAAAGGCCCUGUAGGACACAGCAUCCACACACCAGAGGAGAAGGGAGAGGCGCGAGGGGCUGAUGAGUCUCAGCUAUGUGAAGCUGUUUCUUCUCUUCCCAACGAGCUCCAUUACAUCAUUGGUUUAACCGAGACCGGCUCACAUCCACUGAAGCACAGGCACGUCACACAUUUUUAGACCUUUGCCCGGCGGAUGAAAAAGAUAGAGAUGAUCUGCUGCAGAGUUUACUCUCAUCCGGUAGUCCUUCAAUCUGUCCCUGUCCUGUCCUCGGGGCCUACACAGCACCGCACAAUACGGUGACACCGUGCGGGAGCAU